GUUUCAGAGAAUUUCUCACAGAGGAGGAACAUUCAAGGAAGCGCUUAGUGUCUCGAAAUGGCUCAGGAUUUUGAAAUCAUAACUUUUAAAUAGCCAUUUCAAUGUGGAAUGUAUGUUUUGCAAUAAACUGUUGACUUUCCAUGCUUCUCGCACCUUGGUGGAAGAUUAACCCGGCUUUCAAACAUAUUACAUGCCAAAACCAAUCACCACCUUGGCUUAAAUUUGUAUUUUUCAGUUGGCCCUCAGAGAAAUAAAAACAAUGAGGAUUCUUUCACCCCGAGGAAUGGUUCCCACAUCCUAUCCCAGCACUAAUUGACAGCAGCAGCCCCUUGCCUGUUUCUGCAGUAGCGGGAAAGGGAGUGGCUGAUGGAGCCAGCAGACUGAGCCAGCCCACAGAGAAUAAAGACACACGGGUGUUGCCAUGACGACACCAUCGUGGGCGCCACUGCACUUCUGGCAUGCAGCGCUCGUUUAAGAAGGAAGCUUAUGAAGUAACAUGGCCAUUUCUGGGGUACCUCCGUGCUUAAUUACUUUAGUUGUGCUGCCUUCAAUUCCAGCCUGAGUGCCUGUUGACACUCAAUCUCCCUCUUCUGAUGGUGCUAAGCCUGUUGUGUUCCCAAUAACACAAUCUUGUCUGGACUUCCCAGAAAAGUGUCGGAGCUGUUCUGACAGGAUGCGAGAGGGUGAACAGAGCACACUUCGGCUACCCAGUCUCCUUUACAUACCGAGUCUGGCUUCUGUACCAGGGUUUGUGGCUUCUAACAGCCAUCUACCAAGCCGACCACGCAUGCGCAUUAACAGUUCCCAACACUGCCUUUCCCCUUCACUCCCGGUGCACCGCUAAUCCUUGCGCUGUGUUGACUAUACUCCCCGAAGCCUUCACAGCACACACUGCAGCCACCAUCUCAGGCUGCUGUCUUCUUUUCUCUGCAGUCAGAGCUGGUACUGAGGUUGUAAGCUGAUAUGUGAGCAUGCCCCUUCUGUGUCUGGUCCCGUAAAGCAGAGCAAACACCGCUUUAGCCUUCCGGCAGACCCCAUUAUAAAAGUGCGAGCUCUGUGAUCCUCUGUGACAAACCGUCCUGAACGUGAUACCCAUCCCAGAGAUCUCUGCUGCUGCUUUCGCAUUCACAGAACAUCAAUCCUAGAACACGGUGGUGGGGACCAAGAGACUUUGACAAAGGUGAUGGGAAGGCACGCUCGCUGUUCUGUCACUAUGUUCUCUCGCUAGCACACACACCGGGCGGGCUGUCCCUCCUGCUCACGAAGUAGCAGUUCCUGAGGAGUAAGCAUUUUGUUGGAAAGGCCCACAUUGGCGUUGUGCAGGUGACUUCCGGGAACCAAGCGAGAGUGGCCUGCGGAAAGAACCCAGAGAGACUCAGCCCCAUGGGUCCACAAACAACAGCACGCGACUCCUUCUCCAGGCGAGCCACCGAUGAGAUCCUAGCCCUGUGGAUGCUGGGUUGCUGCCUGUGGGUUGCAGAUCAGAGAACCCAGCUGAGCUGUGCUGCACUGUGAGACACCACCUUUGCUGUUUCAAGGUGCCAAACUUUGACAUUUUUGAAAGCGGCAACAAGGGACCUGUUUACCUCUACAGCCUCAUGGCUCAAAACAUCCAAGCAAAACGACAUGUGCUUCACUGAACUGAACACAUUCUCUUGUGACCUCAACACUCUGUUCUGUCUGGAAUGUUCUUGGCCAUGCCUCUCAUCUGGCUCACCUCUACUCAUCCUUAAGUCUCGGCUGAGGUUUUCUUUUCCUGGAAAACCUUUGUAGAAGCUGCAAGGCCAGUUCAGUGAGAUGGAUGCCAAGAGAAGAGUCUGGAAGCUUGCUGACAGUGGCCUGGAGGGCAGUGCAGAAACAGUGAGAGACCCUGCUUCAACGGGGUGGAAAGUGAGAACUCCUAAAGAUUAUCCACUGGCCUCUUUAUAAUGCUGUGACACACAUGUGUACACACGUACACACACAUACACACACAUGAUAUAUAUAUAUAUAUUCACACACACAAAUAUACACAUGCACACAUGCAUGUGUACAGACACUAUAUAUACAUAUAUACAAUACAUAUUCAUAUACAAUACAAAUACACACUUGCAGUCACACACAAUAUAUAUAUAUUCACACACACAUACACAUUUAUAUUUUUAAUACAAAUUUAUAUUUUUCACUCACAUGCAUACAUGCACAUUUGCAUACACACAAUAUAUAUUCAUGCACGCGCACACGCGCACACGCAGACACACACACACACACACACACACACACACACACACACAGCUCUUUACUUUGCCCGACAUACUAAAUGAUUAAGAAAGACGCUUAUAGCAAAAGCCGGUUCAGGGGCACGUUGUCACAGCCUGCUUGUGGGAUGACGAGAGGGACUCCAAGAGUGACUGCGAUGCCAUUUCCCUUUGAGAACUGAUGAGGUUCGCUGCCAGAAGAGAAGCCAACUCUCACUACUGUAUUAUUCAGAGACAAGGAGCAGCCUAUGAAGAGGAAGACAUACUUCAGCACACACAGCGAGUGUCCACGCAGGAACAACCCACGCUGUUUUAUAAGAGGACCCAAGGCUGCAGGAGGGGCCACUACCAGUCCUCUUGGGUGGAAAUAUCUGCCAGUUUUGUUCGUCAGGCUUUUUUUUUUUAAUGUCAGUAUCUCUCAUACCAUUUGUUCGGAGAUGUAUUUGGAUGGGGAAAAUCUGGAAACCGGAGCUAAACACUCAGGAACAAGUAACUUCACAUUUUCUGCAUUCAUGAACACACUAAGAUACAGUACACGUCUUCUCACUUAAAGUGACAACAGACAAAGAAUGAGGAUGCCGUAGACAUCAAAAGCAUGUAUGCCACUCCCAGAGUCAUCUCUCAGUGAUACCUGCAGCCUUCAUCCUCCUUGUUGAACCUCACAAUGUGGUUUUGUAUGUUUCACUGAUACACAACGUAUGUGUAUACGUCUGUGAAGUCCGAGAGGAGGUCCAGGAAGGAGCAAGGGUUCUGGAAUCAGCGUCACACCCCAGAUCCCAUGUCUCUCAUGUAGACAAGUUACUGAAGUUCUGGUUCCAGAUUCCCAGAUGCUAAAACGAGGCUGAUAUUAACGGCCAUCUGUCUGAGUGAGGCUAACCUGAAGCUUACAGCAGGUGGUGCUGACUGCCCAAUGCACAGAUACCCACGGAUAGGACAUAUUCCUUCUCUAAUUGAAAUAACCCCUAAAGUUCAUGAAAAAGUUUGACUGGGGUCGGGGGAGUGAGAUUUUAUGAGUUACAGGACAGCAACAUUACAGCAUUUUAUAGCUUCUGAUCUCCAGAAUUUCUAAAAAUCUAGUUUUAAAGAAAACUAUGCAUGUGACGUUGAUUCAAGAAAGCAAAUAAGGAGAGAGAGAGAGAGAGAGAGAGAGAGAGAGAGAGAGAGAGAGAGAGAGAGAGAAAACAACCAGGAACUGAUUUCACAUCAUCUAUCUAAAAUGCCAUGCCAGCAAUCAAACUCAGACAAUAAAGACAGACACUGUCAGAGGCUCCGAUUUGACAUUCCUGACUU